rnacentral:rRNA from 1 species
CAGUAGCCGCGGGAAUACGUAGGGUGCAAGCGUUAAUCGGAAUUACUGGGCGUAAAGCGUGCGCAGGCGGUUUGUUAAGACAGACGUGAAAUCCCCGGGCUCAACCUGGGAAUUGCAUUUGUGACUGGCAAGCUAGAGUCUGGCAGAGGGGGGUGGAAUUCCGCGUGUAGCAGUGAAAUGCGUAGGUAUGUGGAGGAACACCGAUGGCGAAGGCAGCCCCCUGGGCUAACACUGACGCUCAUGCACGAAAGCGUGGGGAGCAAACAGGAUUAGAUACCCCCGUAGUCCCUGUCUCUUAUAC